GACGAACGCUGGCGGCGUGCUUAACACAUGCAAGUCGAACGGACAGGCCCUGCUUUUGUGGGGUGCUCGAGUGGCGAACGGGUGAGUAACACGUGAGUAACCUGCCCUUGACUUUGGGAUAACUUCAGGAAACUGGGGCUAAUACCGGAUAGGAGCUCCUGCUGCAUGGUGGGGGUUGGAAAGUUUCGGCGGUUGGGGAUGGACUGGCGGCUUAUCAGCUUGUUGGUGGGGUAGUGGCUUACCAAGGCUUUGACGGGUAGCCGGCCUGAGAGGGUGACCGGCCACAUUGGGACUGAGAGACGGCCCAGACUGCUACGGGAGGCAGCAGUGGGGAAUAUUGCACAAUGGGCGGAAGCCUGAUGCAGCAACGCCGCGUGCGGGAUGACGGCCUUCGGGUUGUAAACCGCUUUCGCCUGUGACGAAGCGUGAGUGACGGUAAUGGGUAAAGAAGCACCGGCUAACUACGUG
rnacentral:rRNA from 1 species